rnacentral:rRNA from 1 species
AAGGGCACCACAAGAACGCGUGGAGCAUGUGGCUUAAUUUGACUCAACGCGGGAAAUCUUACCGGGUCCGGACACACUGAGGAUUGACAGACAAUCAUGUAAAUUGCGCGCCGCUCACGCGGUUCGCAUUUGCAUCUAAAUAUGCUAGUUCUUUCAUGAUUAUGUGAUAGGUGGUGCAUGGCCGUUCUUAGUUCGUGGAGUGAUCUGUCUGCUUAAUUGCGUUUCGCACUGGACCUGAUUUUAAGUGUGCUAUUUUUCUUGUGCCUUGCACACGAUUUGCGCGUUAUAAAGUUUGAGUGCUUACCCCAGUUAGUUUUUGUGCUUGGUUGUCGCCUUGCUUUUUGUGUGUCGCUGCGGAGAACGUUCGCGUUUUCUGUGCAUGCAUCGAGAGCAGGCACUCCGAGUGCUGCUACUGCGCGCGUAUCACUCUUACAAGUGUUAAUUCCGUGCUUGGUGCGAUUUGGAAAAGUACGUGCACAUCAUGGUCCUGAAAGCAACGAACGUGACCGCAUCCUCUUGUUGCCUUUUACCUAAACUGCAGCUUGCCUUCCUUUUCUUUGUGAGCUUCGCGGCUCGCAGGGAUGUUACAAGGUUGACUUGCCGCGUUUUAACAAAAGAGGCUUAAAAUUGUUUUUCUUCACGGAAAAAUAAAACUAGAGGGACCGCUGCGACUUUUUUAAACCAGAGGAAGGUUGCGGCAAUAACAGGUCUGUGAUGCCCUUAGAUGUUCCGGGCUGCACACGUGCUACAAUGAUUAUUGCAGUGAGCAUCUAUUUCCAAAACGUCGUUAUCUACAUGACUUGAAGAUCGGUCUGCGUGCGUGCGCGCGCGCAGUGAUUUUUACUACUUCACUUGNGUUGUUGUAUUAAUUGCUGUGNGNGUCUGUGUGUGCUUGACCGCUAGUUUUUGAGUUCUNUNGUAGAUUCCGACUCAGCCUGCUUCGAAAGUUAGCAGGUAAUCAAUUGGAAGUAAUGAUUUCCUUNUUAAAUUCAAGAUUUUUAUUUUGAAUUUAUCGAGCACACAAUAUGCUGCUCCCUUCCAGGUGAGUACCGAUAUACUGUGUAUUUCACCGUUGUAGGGAUGUUUUUUUUUUACAAAAAAAUUUACAGCAUGUGCUUUUUGUCAAUUCAUGGUGGGGACAGACCAUUGUUAAUUGUUGGUCUCGGUCUUAACUAGGAAUGCCUUGUACGGGUCUUUGGUUCAACAAACCACCCGGAAUACGUCCCUGCCCUUUGUACACACCGCCCGUC